UACGAAGGGGGCGAGCGUUGUUCGGAUUUACUUGGCGUAAAGGGCGCGCAGGCGGCCAUCUUUGCCAGGCGUGAAAGCCCCGGGCUUAACCUGGGAAUUGCGCUUGAGACGGGGUGGCUUGAGAUCGGGAGAGGAGAGUGGAAUUCCCAGUGUAGAGGUGAAAUUCGUAGAUAUUGGGAAGAACACCGGUGGCGAAGGCGGCUCUCUGGACCGAUACUGACGCUGAGGCGCGAAAGCGUGGGGAGCAAACAGG
rnacentral:rRNA from 1 species